UAUGCAGAAGCCAGCACCAGGAGGAAGGAGCCCAAUUUCCUCUCCACAAGAAAGGAAUCAGUGAGAUGAAGAUAGCUGGAAGUGAUAAAGCAAGCCUGCUCUCUCUGUGUGGCCCUCUUCCCUCUGCUCCUCACUUUCUACCCACCUGUGCACAGGGAGGUGGUUUGAGGCAAAUGGGCCACUCUGUCUCCUUGGAGAGGCAGCCAUGCUACCAGGAUCUCAGAUGUCCCUACAGAGACACGCCAUACAAAUCCAGAAAACCCUUCUGCAGGACACAUGUAUCAUUCUGGAGACUGGCCACACCUUAAUGUACCAUGUGACAUUGCAGGAGAGUUGUCCACUGUGAGCAGUGGACACUGUGAGCCUACUAGGUCUGCUACCUCUGGCUGUCUGCUUCCUUGGAGUUACACAGAGCCUGUGCCUCAGGACACAAAAAUCAUGCUUUGUGUAUUUUCAUGGAACUCUUUAUUGUGAAAUACAACACUAAGUCAGCUAAGUGAAUUAUUAUAUUGUCUACACAGGCCUGGAGAGAGACCCUUGCCCACACCUCAGAAGGCCUAGCUACCCUCCUUCAACCACAGAUCUUCCCUCAUGGACUUGGUGUCUAUUCUACACAUGUGGCAGUUACUUCCUGCUCUAUUUAUACUUUUCCACUUAAGAAGUCAUCCUUCUACAUUAUACCAUGCUGUCAGAAUUCUCUGAGACUGACUUUGCUCCCUAUUUUAAUUGUGGGAUUUGUCUUUGUUGAAUGUAGCUUAUUCUUGUUGGA